AUACUUACCUGGCAGGGGAGAUACCAUGAUCAUGAAGGUGGUUUUCCCAGGUUGAGGCUCACCCAUUGCACUUUGGGUAUGCUAAUCCCUAUCAUUUCCCCAAAUGUGGGAAACUUGACUGCAUAAAUUGUGAUAGUGGGGGAUUGUGUUUGUGCUUUCCCGUG
rnacentral:snRNA from 1 species